rnacentral:misc_RNA from 1 species
AACGCACCUUGCGCUCCCUGGUAUUCCGGGGAGCACGCCUGUUCGAGUGUCGUGAAAUCCUCAAGCUUGGAUGGUUUUCCGUCUCAAGCUUGGUAUUGGGCUUUGCUGUGCCUUUCGUUGGAACAGCUGGCCUUAAAAGCAUUAGCUGAUCCUCAUGUGUGGCAUUGGUUCUGCUCAGCGUGAUAAUGAUAUUGACCGCUGGGGACAUCUUUCUAGAUGGCCGAUUCUCUCAUUUGGGUUGCUUCUAAUUUGGCUUUGACAGGUUCUGAUCAGAUCUGUUUUGCCCUUCUGUUUUGACCUCGAAUCAGGUGGGACUACCCGCUGAACUUAA